CAGGCCUAACACAUGCAAGUCGAGCGGGGAUAGGGUGCUUGCACCUGAUUCCUAGCGGCGGACGGGUGAGUAAUGCUUAGGAAUCUGCCUAUUAGUGGGGGACAACGUUCCGAAAGGGACGCUAAUACCGCAUACGUCCUACGGGAGAAAGCAGGGGAUCUUCGGACCUUGCGCUAAUAGAUGAGCCUAAGUCGGAUUAGCUAGUUGGUGGGGUAAAGGCCUACCAAGGCGACGAUCUGUAGCGGGUCUGAGAGGAUGAUCCGCCACACUGGGACUGAGACACGGCCCAGACUCCUACGGGAGGCAGCAGUGGGGAAUAUUGGACAAUGGGCGCAAGCCUGAUCCAGCAAUGCCGCGUGAGUGAUGAAGGCCUUAGGGUUGUAAAGCUCUUUCGCACGCGACGAUAAUGACGGUAGCGUGAGAAGAAGCCCCGGCUAACUUCGUGCCAGCAGCCGCGGUAAU
rnacentral:rRNA from 1 species